GGGUGAAGUGAUAGUAGGAGGGGGCUAUGAUCCGAGCCAACCGCUGGUAACGCCAGAACUUCAGCAUUUGGGAAGGGCCAGCAGCAUUUUCUGGUUCUUUCCUUCCCACAAUCUGAAGAGUAGGUGAUUGAAUGGGGGUUUCAGCAACAUCAGCAUAUACUUCCUCUAAUAUCCAUCCAGGAGGCAGCCCUAUAAUAUGGAUCCAGAAGUCAUAGUGCAAGAAAUCAUAGCAGUGUUCAGAAUCAAGGGUUGGUGAUAACGUACCUGCUGUUGAAGUGUUCGUUAGUUCGGAUCGAAGGGAGCUCGAGCAUGAUGGGUUGGUUCUCGGAUUCUUGGAAUGAUGGAACAGUAGCCGCUUCCAUUUACCGCGUUGUUGGCGGGUGGUUCAGUAAGGAAGAAGGAAGAUGGAGCACGAUCAUCACUCGAAGACCCUCGAUUUCUAGGUUUUUGGGGGUUGUCGUGGUCUAGGGUUUGGAAGGGGGAAACGGAGUUUUGUGUAAUGGGUAUACUGAUUUCAAGGGUUUGGAGUGGAUGGGUUUUCCUUUCUGGGAGACUGUAAUCGUAAGUUUUAGGGUUUGGUGUGGCUGCUAUCACCUUGGGGGAUAGGGAAAAAACUCCAUUGAAGGAGAGGAG